UCGACUCCUGAAGCUGCUGGAGGGUCCAUGGAGCUCAGAGGAAGGGUUUUGCACCUUCCCCACUUUCUCUCUCUAGGUUUUCUCUCUCUUCGAGUAGAAAUUGUUGAUUUGCGCCUAUUUCUCGCCGUUCGUCGCGCUAGCUGGUUUGUGGACUUUGGAGCAGCUACGAGUGGGUGGAAAGGACUCGCAUGAGAGGUAUUUUCGCAGCUCCAACUUUCAGGGAACCUGAAUUGAAGUCUAGUGAGCUGGUUUGAGAUGGUUUAAAGCACCAAUUGAGGAGUGGUUUUGCUGUAAUCCUUCACCCCAAAGUCAGAGUUAAAGCCUUCGAGGUUUCCAAAUUAAUUUGAGCUGAAUUUGUG